UACGUAGGGUGCAAGCGUUAAUCGGAAUUACUGGGCGUAAAGCGUGCGCAGGCGGUUCGCUGUGUCCGAUGUGAAAGCCCCGGGCUUAACCUGGGAAUGGCAUUGGAAACUGGCGGGCUUGAGUGUGGCAGAGGGUAGUGGAAUUCCCGGUGUAGCAGUGAAAUGCGUAGAGGAUCGGGAGGAACACCAGUGGCGAAGGCGGCUACCUGGACCAGCACUGACACUGAAGCACGAAAGCGUGGGGAGCAAACAGG
rnacentral:rRNA from 1 species